rnacentral:rRNA from 1 species
GCACUGGAGGACCGAACCCAAGUAUGUUGAAAAAUGCUGGGAUGAGCUGUGGAUCGGAGUGAAAGGCUAAUCAAACCGGGAGAUAGCUGGUUCUCCUCGAAAUCUAUUUAGGUAGAGCGUCAUCCGAAUACCCUCGGGGGUAGAGCACUGGAUGGGCUAGGGGGCCCCAACGGCUUACCAAACCUAACCAAACUCCGAAUACCGAGGAGUACUAGAUGGCAGACACACUACGGGUGCUAAGGUCCGUAGUGGAGAGGGAAACAGCCCUGACCGCCAGCUAAGGUCCCUAAGUUAUCACUAAGUGGGAAACGAUGUGGGAGUGCUUAGACAACCAGGAGGUUGGCUUAGAAGCAGCCACCCUUUAAAGAAAGCGUAAUAGCUCACUGGUCGAGUCGGCCUGCGCGGAAGAUGUAACGGGGCUAAGCAAUAUACCGAAGCUGCGGCAGCACGUAUGUGCUGGGUAGGGGAGCGUUGUGUAAGUGGAUGAAGGUGAAUCGAGAGG